UGGGGAAUAUUGCACAAUGGGGGAAACCCUGAUGCAGCCAUGCCGCGUGUGUGAAGAAGGCCUUCGGUUGUAAAGACACUUUGUCAUUCGAGGAAGACAGCGUAUAAAUAAAUAGCGCUAUUUGACGUUAGAGUGUGAAUAAGCACCGGCAAACUCCGUGCCAGCAGCCGCGGUAAUACGGAGGGUGCGAGCGUUAAUCGGAAUGACUGGGCGUAAAGGGCACGCAGGUGGCGAGAUAAGUUGGAUGUGAAAUUCCCGUGCUUAACAUGGGGACUGCAUCCAAAACUGUUGAACUGGAGUACUGUAGAGGGAGGUAGAAUUCCACGUGUAGCGGUGAAAUGCGUAGAGAUGCGGAAGAAUACCAGAGGCGAAG
rnacentral:rRNA from 1 species